UUCAGCCCUCUUCCUGUUCCUCCGUUCCCUGCUUCUCCACCUCCAUCCCAUUCCAAUUCCAAGAAUGGGGCAGCGGAGGAGAAGACAUCCCAACUUAACCAGUUGGACAACCGUGAGCAACAAGAGAGGAAGAAGCUAAAAAUUAAAGAAUGAUCAAAGGCUGCAAGGAGACCACACACAUGGCAAACGUGGCAACGCCGCGACCAUUUCUAGUGAUUGCGAACAUGUCAAAUCAAUUUAUAGGGGUAUUAUGGUAAUUUGCCAUAUUUCAUUGGUAUCCUCUUCAGUCCUACAAUUGCAAAUUUUACUGGACGGAAGGAGUACAAAUUAGUUUUAUGCGUUGAGUUUAAUAUUUGAAGAUGGUGCAAAUAUAUUUGUACUGAAAAGUUGUAUAAUAUUAGUAUACUUGUAGGCAUUGUAAAUAUGCUGAGACAAACAUUGUAGUUGAAUUUGUGUUUUUGGAGACCAUAUGAAUGUCCAAAGCGUCACUUAUUUUGAA